rnacentral:rRNA from 1 species
CACGAAAGAUCGACGAGCGGCGGACGGGUGAGUAAUGCUGGGAAUCAUGCCUUUAGUGGGGGACAACAGUUGGAAACGACUGCUAAUACCGCAUAAUGUCUACGGACCAAAGUGGGGGACCUUCGGGCCUCACGCCUAAAGAUUGGCCCAAGUGGGAUUAGCUAGUUGGUGAGGUAAUGGCUCACCAAGGCGACGAUCCCUAGCUGGUUUGAGAGGAUGAUCAGCCACACUGGGACUGAGACACGGCCCAGACUCCUACGGGAGGCAGCAGUGGGGAAUAUUGCCACAAUGGGCUCAAGCCUGAUGCAGCCCCAUGCCGCCGUGUGUGAAAAAAGGCCCUUUCCGGGUUUGUAAAGCCACNUUUUAAGUUAAAGGGAGGGAAAAAGUGNGAUGUUUAAAUAGCCUUUUUCCAGGCU